UACAGAGGUCUCAAGCGUUGUUCGGAUUUAUUGGGCGUAAAGGGUGCGUAGGCGGCGAGGUAAGUCUGGUGUGAAAACUCGAGGCUCAACCUCGAGCUGUCGGUGGAAACUGGCUGGCUAGAGUCCGGAAGAGGAGAGUGGAAUUCCUGGUGUAGCGGUGAAAUGCGCAGAUAUCAGGAAGAACACCCGUGGCGAAGGCGGUUCUCUGGAACGCAACUGACGCUGAGACGCGAAAGCGUGGGGAGCAAACAGG
rnacentral:rRNA from 1 species